rnacentral:rRNA from 1 species
GACGGAAGGUGCAAGCGUUGCUCGGAAUCACUGGGCGUAAAGGGCGCGUAGGCGGGAUGGCAAGUCGGUCGUGAAAUCCUUCGGCUCAACCGAAGAACGUCGGCCGAUACUGCCGUUCUUGAGGGAUGCAGAGGAGAUUGGAAUUCCCGGUGUAGCGGUGAUAUGCGUAGAUAUCGGGAGGAACACCUGUGGCGAAGGCGGCUUUCUGGGCCUUACCUGACGCUGAGACGCGAAAGCGUGGGGAGCGAACCGG